ACCUGCGCCACUACCAUCUCCGUCAUCAAGUCGUAUUUAUGUCGCACGACCGACCGCUGGACCCGGUGACUCAACACCGUGGAUGCCACGGCCCUAGGCUUGCGCUAGGUGAACCCUUGUCCCCGGGGGCACUUCCCAAACUUUUGCUAGGGGAGCCCGGGAGAGUCCCUGGUGAGGCGGAUGAAACCCCACGCUCCCCGGAGUCGAGUCUCUUCUUGGUCACGCCUCCAUAGUACAUACGCGGGCAACUGCAGUUGGCUCAGUCCAGUCGUGGCGUUUCGAAAUCACACGCAUCCUUUGUACGGCUGCUCACUUGAUGUGUUGUCACAGAUAAUGAAAGGUAAUUUAUUCCAAUAGCAUCAAAAGUUGCUUUCCAGGAUAGAAUUUACCAUUUGAUAGAUGUCUUUAUAAUUCCUUAGUGCCAUUGGUCUGAAAGGGAGUCUUUGUGACUUCACUUUUCUAAGACUAAUUUCUGUGGAAGGAACCAACCAAAGCAGAUAUACAGAAAAAAAAAAUAUGAUGACAAAAUAUACCAAGUUUCUCAUCAAACCUGGAGAAGCUGAAAAGGAGUUUGGGGAGAAGAAAGAAAAGCCCAUGAGACACUGGAGAAAAGUUAAUUAAGAGCACUUCAUAAACAUAACUCAAAGCAGAAUAUUCUGUAAAACGUGAUGUUCAAAGUCAAAUCAGCACUUCAGGCAAAAAUGAUACUUCUUUUGUGGCUUUAUGAGACAGAAUCCUAAAGGUCACACAUACCUUCAAAUAUCUUUAAAAGUGCAGUCAUUUCUCACAAGUAGUUGGUCUGAAGUGUGAUUUUAAAGUUGUAUUUAGAUGUAAAACUCAAGUCAUUAAACCUGUGUGUUUACUGAACUUUUUAUAGAUGUCUAUUUACUGGGCAACCAUUGAUAUUGUCUUCCGUGAGUACACACUGUUCUGUGCCUGGAGAAGGUUUGCUGCCUCUGUGUGGUUGUCUGAAAUGUCAAGGCU